CCUACGGGUGGCAGCAGUGGGGAAUAUUGGACAAUGGGCGAAAGCCUGAUCCAGCCAUGCCGCGUGUGUGAAGAAGGCCUUCGGGUUGUAAAGCACUUUCAGUGGGGAAGAAAGCCUUGGGGCUAAUACCCUCGAGGAAGGACAUCACCCACAGAAGAAGCACCGGCUAACUCCGUGCCAGCAGCCGCGGUAAUACGGAGGGUGCGAGCGUUAAUCGGAAUUACUGGGCGUAAAGCGCGCGUAGGCGGUCUGAUAAGCCGGUUGUGAAAGCCCCGGGCUCAACCUGGGAACGGCAUCCGGAACUGUCAGGCUAGAGUGCAGGAGAGGAAGGUAGAAUUCCCGGUGUAGCGGUGAAAUGCGUAGAGAUCGGGAGGAAUACCAGUGGCGAAGGCGGCCUUCUGGAUUGACACUGACGCUGAGGUGCGAAAGCGUGGGUAGCAAACAGGAUUAGAUACCCUGGUAGUC
rnacentral:rRNA from 1 species